rnacentral:rRNA from 1 species
UACGUGGGGUGCAAGCGUUGUUCGGAAUUACUGGGCGUAAAGCGUGUGUAGGUGGCCCGCUAAGUCUGGUGUGAAAGCCCUGAGCUCAACUCAGGAAUUGCAUCGGAAACUAGCGGGCUGGAGUCCGGGAGAGGGUAGUGGAAUUCCUGGUGUAGAGGUGAAAUUCGUAGAUAUCAGGAGGAACACCGGUGGCGAAGGCGGCUACCUGGACCGGUACUGACACUGAGACACGAAAGCGUGGGGAGCAAACAGGG